UGUUGUGUUAUUUUAAGGACAUAUGACAGGGAAGGAACAGCCCUCCCUUCCCCAGCUGCCUCAAAGUACUGUUUGCUGGAAAGUUUGCUGGAAUUGAGAUACAAUCUUUCAAAAGAAAAUAAACAAGCAAAAAAUCCCUGCAGUCAUGAACUGUAGCCACAGCUGGAAACACUGGAACAUUCCAGGAGAUGAAAACAAAGAUUUCCUCCUCCUUCUUUUCCGCCCUACUGAGGACACAUCAGCCAACCUUGUGAGUACUCUUUAGCUACAAUGAGGACGUGAUCAGAGAGAGUAAGGACUAAGGACCAGGAGACCAGGCACGGGAAGUCGUGGGAUCUGGAAGGGGCUCUAUUACUAACUAACUUGGGACCCCAUGAUGUGUGUUCUCCUACCAAAGACUAGAGUCUUUGGGAAGGGUUUGCCUGCCAGGGACUAACCCAAGGGCUCUUUCAUCAAGAUAGGACAGAAGACAUAAACUGGGACUGUUCCAGACAAACAAGGAUGCUUGGUGCCCCUAAUGGAAACCCUUCCAGGUCCAUAGGGCAAAGGUACAGCAUGGCUGGACAUAGGUUUUCAGUCAGAUAUAGAAUUUGGUGUUGGAGAUUCAGAGAGAGCAAGACAGGUGUUUAUGGUUUUUUAAAAAGGACUUCUACUUUUAAGAUGGAGGUGUUAAGACAGCCCUGCCUACUGCUUUCUGAAAUUAUUCCAAAACAACAGGGAAAAUGCGAAACAGAAGGGCAAACUUCACCUUUGUUGAGGAAGUGCUAUCAAGUGCAAUAAAGUUUCAACAAGGAGCAGGUAGAUUCCAAAAAAUGUCUGUUGCCAAAGACCUGAAAUGAGGUUGGCAGAGCAUGGUGUUCAUGAGAGGGUGAAACCACCCCAUCUAUGGUGGGUGAGCUGUCUGUGAGGGCCAUCCCUGGACUCUGUCUGGUCCCACUGAGAAACAGGGGAUGUGGUAUAAACAAGAAAACACCUAGGCAUGCCAUCUUUGCGGGAAGCUGUCUGUUGGGAAGGCAGAUUGGAUAAGAUAGAUUUACUAAUCAGUUUUGCAAUUACCUAUCUCUUCUUUCUUUCUGUGAAAUAAUAAAGGAUAAAUCACACAGGCAUAUGCACAACCGUGUCAUAAGGUGCAUCCCUGUAAAUAAAAAAGACUCCCCUGGAUGACCCUGCCCCAUAAUCUUCCUGAGAAAUAGUUCAUUAAGAAAGACCUAAUCUCAGUCAAUAUUAGUCAGAAUAAAAAAGCAGCCAUGAGAAGAGCUCUACAAAGAUACUGCAAGAAAUGAAGGUAAUGAUUAGAGAAAACAGACAUACAAAGAACAUGUAUCAAAUUGUGUAGCCAUAGAGCUAAUGGAAGCUGUGCUGAGCAAAUGGACAUAGUCAAACAAACAAGCCAAUAACAACAAAACUUCCAAACCCUAAUGAAAAAUCAUCACUUCAAUAAAAUAAGAGCUCAAGGAAGAAAUGUCAAGACAACUGAAAAAGACAAAAAUGAGCCAUUAGAGCUCUGGGAAGAGCUGGAGGAGAAACAUAACAUCAUCAUGAGAAUUAGGGAGCCCAUGGAGGCAACAGAUACUGCUCAGAAGAAAAAAAUGGGCUUACAAACAGGACUAGCAAAGCGAGCAAACAAAAUGGAAAUGAAUACUUGAGAACUGGAAAAAGAACGUGAUAGCUAUGGAAGAUGAAGUAGAUCCAGCAGACCUUCGGGUAUGCAUACAAAGACCAAGCAGGACUUGACAGAGAGUAUUGAAAAAAAUAGAAAAUGUAUUUGGAGAAAUAUAAUUGCAAAACUUUUUUCAGAAAUGAGAUAUUUAAGUCUACAUACAAAGCAAAACCAAACCAAACUCAAACUUAAAUACAAACCAUUUCAGAAAACGUUGAUACAGAAUUAUCAACCCAAAAGGUAAAGGAAGACUCUUUCUCCAUUAAUACAAACAAACAAAAAGUCAAACAAAUAAUAUAAACCAAAACCAAAAUUUCUUUUCUAAGGGGGGAAAAUUUAGCUGGUUUCAGAAUUUUCCACAGCAACAUGUCAUGUUAGAUGACAGUGGAAACAUGCUUACAAAACCUCAGUAAGAAUGAAAUAGAGAAGUUUUUUGCUCACAGUAUUGUUCAAGUACAAAAGCGGCACUAAAUUCUAAUAACCUGGAAUAUGUGUUUACCAGGGUCUUGUCUGGAAUAAACUGAGGCUAAACUUUCACCAACCAGUAGAGAAUGGAGAAACUAUGGGAGAGAGACUGGUGCUGAAUUUUUCACAACUCAGUUUAGGAUUAAGAUGAAAAAACAUGUGGCAAUUAAGGUUAGAGAAAACAGUGUAAAUUUUAAUGAAUUAUAACAACAUGGAAACCCUUAAACUAACAAAACUCAGGAGGUGAUGGGAGAGAGAAGGUGGGAGGUAAGCCAAGAGUUCAAAGUUACCACUCAGGGUUAAUGAGUCAAGUAAAAGACAGAAACAUAUAUUAAAAUUAAUGUAAUUAGUAUUAGCUGAAAUAUUGUCA